rnacentral:rRNA from 1 species
GACGUAGGGUGCGAGCGUUGUCCGGAUUUAUUGGGCGUAAAGAGCUCGUAGGCGGCUCGUCGCGUCGACCGUGAAAACCCGCGGCUUAACUGCGGGCUUGCGGUUGAUACGGGCGGGCUAGAGUUCGGUAGGGGAGACUGGAAUUCCUGGUGUAGCGGUGAAAUGCGCAGAUAUCAGGAGGAACACCGGUGGCGAAGGCGGGUCUCUGGGCCGAUACUGACGCUGAGGAGCGAAAGCGUGGGGAGCGAUCAGG